AACGAACGCUGGCGGCGCGCCUAACACAUGCAAGUCGAACGAGGUUAUUUUUUGAAACCGGCUUCGGUUGGUGGAAAGUUAUAAUCUAGUGGCGGACGGGUGAGUAACACGUAGGUAACCUACCCUAGGGAUCGGGAUACUCCCGAGAAAUCGGGGACAAUACCGGGUAUCAUUACAGGGCGAAAUUCCCAGUAAUAAAAGCUGCGAGCAAUCGUGGCGCCUUAGGAUGGGCCUGCGGCCUAUCAGCUUGUUGGUGAGGUAACGGCUUACCAAGGCUAUGACGGGUAACCGGACUGAGAGGUCGAUCGGUCACACUGGAACUGAGACACGGUCCAGACUCCUACGGGAGGCAGCAGUGGGGAAUUUUGCGCAAUGGGCGAAAGCCUGACGCAGCGACGCCGCGUGGAGGAAGAAGGCCUUUGGGUUGUAAACUCCUUUCGUGAGGGAAAAAGUCUCGAGCAAUCGGGA
rnacentral:rRNA from 1 species